AUAGUAUUCCCGCCGUCCGGAAAUACUUAUCGGAGAAAUGAAUAAAUCUAGAUGUAUUUUUGUUAUAAAUACAUCCAAUUUUAUGCAUUUCUCCGACAAGUAUUUUGGGACGAAGAGAAUAUAUU
rfam:Triticum aestivum genome assembly, contig: Triticum_aestivum_CS42_TGACv1_scaffold_405803_5BL